AAAUAAUGGUUCUUUAUGAUUAAAAGGGAAUUAAGUUAGAAGCUUAAACGGUCCCGCCACUGUAAAGAGGAUGAAAGUAGAAAUGCCACUAAAUCGACGGGGAGAUUUGGGAAGGUCUACGAGUAAAAUGAAUCUGAGUCAGGAGACCUGCCAUUAUUAGUU
rnacentral:ncRNA from 1 species